UACGUAGGUGGCAAGCGUUGUCCGGAAUUAUUGGGCGUAAAGCGCGCGCAGGCGGUCCUUUAAGUCUGAUGUGAAAGCCCACGGCUCAACCGUGGAGGGUCAUUGGAAACUGGAGGACUUGAGUGCAGAAGAGAAGAGUGGAAUUCCACGUGUAGCGGUGAAAUGCGUAGAGAUGUGGAGGAACACCAGUGGCGAAGGCGACUCUUUGGUCUGUAACUGACGCUGAAGCGCGAAAGCGUGGGGAGCAAACAGG
rnacentral:rRNA from 1 species